ensembl:snoRNA LOC120102731 small nucleolar RNA SNORA17
UUUGUUACACAAAUGUGUCAGUAUGUUUCAGAGAAGAAAGAGGAUGUGUCUCUGAUCAGAAUUCUGACUGAUAAACAUCUGAACGAUUAGUAGCCUAACAUU